rnacentral:lncRNA from 1 species
AGUCAAUUCUAAAGAGCAGUUCCUGGAUCCACAGCUUCUGGGGCAGGAGGAUUCCGAUAUGUUGUAUCUACCAGCAACACUCGACGUUAUCCAAAGAGACUAUGGAAAUUCACCUCUUAGAUUCUAGGGAUUCAGUUUGUCAUGGGAAGAAUCUUCUGGAGGCCAAGGGAACAGUAGACAAGAGGCCCUGGUUUUCCUGACGGAGCUCUCUGAGAACAGAGGUCAUUCAUGUUCUGUUUGCUUAUUGUGAACGAGACACAGCUUCCUUUUGAAUAUCAAACUCUGCUUUUUGGAAGGGUUCCCUGCACACGAGAUGUGAGACCGCGUGCCUUGUGUGAGCCUCAGAUGAGCCCUGCAGCUCCCUCAGGAUGCUAUUCGGAUAGUGCCGGUGGAGAAGCCCCCGAGGAAGCAUGGUCCUGCUUGCGACGAACUUGCUAUCCUUUCCCGGACACCCUUCGCUGCUUCUACCAGUUUUCAGUGCCAGGAUGCGCUUGAAGGGUGAGCUGAUGCCAGGGAUGUAGCCUUCCCCAGCCAGAGCAUGUGGGCCAAACCCUUUCUGGAUGGCUAGGCAGUGGGGAGAAGCCAUGAGAUGCUUGAGAAGUAGUCACAUCUCCCCUAGGGACAGUCUGGUUUUCAGGGUUACAUCCAUUCAAAAACACCCCCGGAAUUCAGGCUUGUGAAAGAUAAGCCAUCUUGACCCUGUUCCUUUGUUCCCACUGAGGUCCUGUCCUUGGCAUCCCCUUCUGGUUACACACCACCAAGGCACAGACACUACCCUGUCCUGCUGUUUGGCUCUGGAAGAAAUUUGAUUCCUUUCUUUU